rnacentral:rRNA from 1 species
UACGUAGGUGGCAAGCGUGUCCGGAAUUAUUGGGCGUAAAGCGCGCGCAGGCGGUCCUUUAAGUCUGAUGUGAAAGCCCACGGCUCAACCGUGGAGGGUCAUUGGAAACUGGGGGACUUGAGUACAGAAGAGAAGAGUGGAAUUCCACGUGUAGCGGUGAAAUGCGUAGAGAUGUGGAGGAACACCAGUGGCGAAGCGGCCGCCUGGACCUGACCUGACGCUGAGGCGCGAAGGCGUGGGGAGCGAACGGGAU